UAAAACCAUCUGAAAAAACGUGUUUUAUGUGCCAACUGGAUAGUGACUUGCAAGGAUAGAAAAUACUGAUAAAAGGGCAAUGUUGAACAAAACCUAUGUCUUACCUAACUUAUGUAGACUCAUGUUUGCUUAUAUUUAAAGAGAUGAUUGGCAUGUGGUUGACGGUUCUUUUUUAUUUGCACUGUUACAGAACUUUUCUCACAUCACCUUGAUGUUAUCCACGGGUUGUCCACCAGAGCUUUCCAUCUCGAAGAUGAAAUACUCCACGCCCUGCAGCAUGGGCCCUGCCAGGAAGCUUCUGAGAAGUGCUGAAUCUUGGGCCCCACCCCAGACCCAGGUGGCUUUCACUGAGACCCUUGCUUGAAGUAGGAGCUCCAGGCUCUGGAGAUGCAGCCUGGAGAAAUCACAGCCCCGUAUGCAUAGAGCUUGCUCCACACUCGCUCCAACUGGCUCCCGACUCCUGACGCCCACCCUGCCUAGACAGCUCUUCCUUCUGACACCCACCGUGCGUGUGGCUCUCCCUUCACUCUGCCUCUCUGCUGCAAUGCCCCUCAUCUCAGAGCUGUCCCUGCCUAACCCCCGCUCCCACGCCCCUCCCCCACCGUGAUUUUCUACGAAGCACAGAUCACCACUGGACAUUAGCAUGAGGUGGUCUUACUUGCUACUGGAGUAUGGGGGCACAUUUUGGCCAAGUGAUGCCUGGCCUGAGACGCCCGCCCUGCAGCCAAACAGAAGCGUUGAAGAGCCGCUGGAAGAGGCAUCUGAGGAAAGGGAGAUGAGCAGCAGGUGAACUGUCCUGCGGCUGAGAGACCACCACCACCGGGAGCGUGAGGGCCGCUGGUGGAGGAGCAGCGUGGGACACUGCGUGGCUGUGCCCGGGAUCUGGAGGUCAGGAAAGUGAGGGAGAACCUGCAAAGGAGACUGAGAAGGCCGAGAAGCAAGAGAGGACGGGGUCCUGGAAGCUGGUGAAGAAAGAAGGGUAACUUUGCCCACUCCUGGUAGAUGAGUCAGAUGAGACAGAACCGGCCCUGGGCUCAGUUGUGUGGAGUCAUUCUGUGGACCUUGGCAAGUGCCGCAGGAGGAGGUGAGGCAGGGACGGCACAGCAGCCUGGAGGGCUUCGCUCAGAUGCGGAGAAGGCAAGGCCGUUAUUUACAAACGCAGACGGCCUGCAUGUGUGAGGCGAUCUGAAACUGGGAUGUCCGUGAUGACAGCGUGAGUUACUCACAUGUCCACGUCCCUGUUACUCACAUGGGAUGAGAAUGUCGCUGACCCAGCAUAUGUAUGCAGAUUCAUUCUAAGCAAAUGAUUGGAUUAGGAUUUCCACAAUUUUUGCCUUAUUUAAAAUAUGUGCUAAUCACUGGUCAACGUUCAUCUUUUCAAAUAAAUCUGUUUGAACGUAACAACAAAGUUAGGAAGGGAAGAUCGCGUCAGUAAGCCCUAACGUGAGUGACACAGAGGGUGCAGGGAACUGGAGAGACCUUCCCAUUUGUUCUCCUAAAAUUACAUUUAGAGCCAGAAGAAUGUUGCUUACUAAAAAAGAAAUCCCAGAAUCCUCUUUCGGAAAACUUUGAAAUAUGAGGUUUAAUUUAACCUUUCUAGAAGAUUUCAAGACAUUUCAAGAUUAAUAUUUUUGUGCUGGUAGGGAAGUUCCUUGUCUCUGAUAGAAAGAAAACCUUCUCUGCCUCAAAUUUGCCUUAGAAAACAGCCGGGGAGCACUAAACAUUGAUGCCUAAGAUCUGUCUCCACUUUUAUCAGUUUCUCUUCCACUGACACGUUCAUGUGGAAUCCAGCCAGAUGGCAAGAUGGUUUAUUGCAAUAAUGUUUCAAACAUGAAGUCAUUUUAUUUUUCAAAUGUUUCAAAUGUGAAGCCAUUUUAUUCAAGCCAUUCAAAAUGGCUUCAAAAAUGCCAAGGGCUGUUUCUGUAGUUCUGACCACCCAAGACUGCACGUCCCACUCAGAAAGGCCUCCUGGAGGUCCGAGGUAGAGCUGGGCAAUGACGCCUCCACAUAACAGCAGGAGCUGUGCUCAUCCCUGCCUUUGACGGGUGUAAACAGCCAUUUCAUAUCUGACCAGCUAUUGCUGGGCCUUCCCACAGGGCUCAAGUCUACACGCAGCUCCACGGCUCAUGGGAAGCAGUCGUUCCUUUGCCACGGGUGCCGUGGGAGACGCAGUCAAGCAACGUUUCACACCCUGUGUCUGCUUUAACCAAAUGAGGUAAGGUAGAAGAAAUAACAGGACGCCAAGCCCUCAGCCGGAGAGAACGGUCCAGUCACUCUGGAGAGCAGCAUGACGCCGGGAGACUGUGGUGUCCCAGACACCCCAGCUCAUGAAAGAGCCUGGGCCCCGUGCCAAAUGCUGCCCAGACAGGAAGGACGACGGGAAACCUUGCUGAGGCAGAAACUUACGCAUUUUCAUGGUAGGUAUAUUUCAGCUUCUGGUGUUCAGAGAGUCUUCUGGAUCCCAGCAGAGGCAAAUGAUUGAGAGAAGUAGUUUUCAUUGCCAUGGUUUAAGCCAUCAGCAGUAGAUUUGGGAAGAACGCCCUGCCGUAGACUUGAUAUGGACUUAUGUGGUCAGACCACAGCAGAAGGCACACUUGCAGGGGGAAGGAAGAAGCACUUAAAUAAAGGAAAUAUUUACGAAUAUGUGGGCAGAACCAGGGAGAACCACGACCAACGAGGAAGCCUCCUGGGGCUGCUGUCGGUGAGUGCGCAUCGCUGUCUCCCCUCAGCAGCCAGGAAGGGCAGCUGCCCUGAGGUGUGGAGAGAGCUUUGUGUAAGGAAGGGCUCCUCUGCACCACGGCCACCAGCGGAGACACGGAGCUGCUGCCUGCAGCCCCAGGAGAGCCUGGGGGACACUGGUCCUGCCUCCCCACUCUUCCUGCCCUCCAGGCCCCUGCCAGUCUUCCCAGGCCAGAGUGCUCUGGAAGUCAGCUUCCGGGACUCAGAAGAGCAUGGAGGACAGGGGAGGGAGGAAAGGGGGCUGCAGAGUGCCCAGCCCGGCCCUGUGAGGGGAGCUGGAUUCCCUUCCCCUCCCUUGGUGCUGGGUGGGGUGGGGCAGGGGAAAUGAUGUACACCCUAGGAUUCAAGGACAGGGGCACACACAGCCUGGGCAGGUACCACUCAGGGAUGUGACUGCCACACGGAAGCAUGUCCUGCUCUGAGGCCUGCUGUCCAGGCAGGGGGGGCUGGAGGCAGGCGCUCGAAGCGGGGCUGAGUCGGGGUGUCUCCAGGGUGGCCCUGGAGAGCACUCUGUGUUGGUCUUGCCCUGGGACAGGUGUGUCAGCAUGGCGCCAUCACGGCAGGCCUGGCCUGCUGCCGAGGAAGAUGCAGGCCCCAGGCUGCGUGUGCGGCUGGAGCUUCAACUCUCAUCUGACAGUCAGAGAGAUCUCCUGCGCCCUGAGCCGUUUGUAUCACUGAGGCCUUUCUCAGGCAGGAGCGCGGUGCCAACCCCACGCAACCACCUUGGGAAAGGCGUCACUACCUGCCCGACUGGCUCUCGGCAAGGGCCUCAGGUCCUCAACACACGGGCCAAACCUCCUUGUCACUUAGUAACUGGGUGACCUGAGGCACCCUACUUCUCAGCUUCAGCUUUUCAUUGGAAUAAAUGGAUAAUCUUACUGUGAGAAUUGGCGCAGUUUCUGAUCCAUCUAAGCAUCAAGAAAUAGCCUCUAUUUUGCUCUUCGUUCAACAGGAGCAAGUCUGUCUCCCAAUAAUUAACGCGGUGGCUGAUGCGUUGUUGGAAGCCAUGAACCUGUGUCAUUGAGCUACUCAAUUUCUGAGCUUGGGAAACUCUCUUGCUGGUUCUCCGAAGGCUUUGUCAGUGGAAUGAAGUAUUUGGACAGGACGAGGCAAUCCAGAGGCUCCAGUUCUGAUAUGCUCUGCUCUACAGGGAAGGACAACAGGACCCCUUGCCCAGAGGACACUGGGCAGGCAGGUCCCUUUCGGUCUCUAAGACAUGAAGGAGAACCGACUGGGUAUGAAGGAGAUGGGGGUGGCAUCUCAGGCUUCACCCUCUAGGCUGGGGACGGGGAGCAGUGGCUAAUCCUCUAGGCUGGGGACAGCAGGGCAGUGGCUCACCCGCUAGGUUGGGGAGAACUUUUCUCUUGGUUCUUGUUGUCGUGCUACAAGCAAGUACUCUGCCCUGUUCUUGGGACCCAGACACACACACACAGGUGAACAGGGGACGCUCCAAUGCACUUCUUCUUCCUUGACACCCUGUGAGGAAGAAAAUGCAGGGCCCUCAUCAGACUGGCCUGAGGGUCACCGCUUCCUGCUUCUCCUGGCAGCUGCCCUGAGGGUGCAUGGGUCAUGGGUCAUUCUGACUGCCUGCAGGUUCCAGGAAGUAGGCCUCCUUCCGCAGGGAGAAGGACAUUUCAUUAGCCCGGAUGGUCCACCAGGGCAGCAGAGACCCCGGGCCUAUCCUGUGGCCUGAGACGCCUCCCGUGGCCUUGCUUACCACCAGGAGCCCAGACCUUCACACACCAGCUGCCAAGGUACAAAUAACUCACUCAUCCCUAAAACUUUACACAAUUAGAAGUCAGUCACUGUUUAGAAUCCAAACAUAACACUAAGGCCUGGAUUCAAAUAGCUUUAUCCAGCUGUUAAAUUUCCAUCUAAUGCCGACAAACUUCUUUAGGCAAUGCGUAGUGACAAAAAAAAAAAAAAGCAAAAAAAUAAUAUUUGCUUUUAAAGUCUCAGAUUCCAUAGUGAAAUCGUCCAGGGGAACUCCCAGGAGUCCCCCGGAGAGGGUCGGUGAAUGAGCUGGUGUGUAGGUCAUCUGGGAGCAGUGGAACCCGAGACCAGAUAGUGUGCCAGAGGAUGCUUCCAGGCGGAACAGCAGCCACAGAGCUGCCCUAGUGUGUCUUCCUCGACCUCUGAGGCUGGAGAGCUCGCAGGAGUCCCGGCUCCUGACCCCUCUGCAGCUGGGAUUCUGCACACCACUUCCAUUUCCCCACUAGCUUCUCUUACCUGUGGAGACCUGAAAGCAGAAGCAAAGUGGGCACCAUCUCCUUGCUGCGUACAGCCAUGUCCUGCUGCACCUUCAGAAACUCUCCCAGCACCGCUCCUGUGCCAUCAGCCCUGUGCUGCGGAGUAGGAUUUGUGGAGAAGGUGGGAAGGCCCAGCUGAAUGGCUGAGUGGCAUCUGCAGCUCCCUGGUCCUGCCUGUGUGUCUUUACCUGAAUCUGGUGGUUGUGGUGCUCCUGCUCCUGCAUUUUCAACCUGUGGCAAAGGCUGUUGGUAGGUCACGUCUUUGGGGUUCUUAGAACGCAUCCUGGAGGUCCCACCAAAGCCCUGUCUGCCAGCCCUGCUCCAGAGCGCCUUCAGCUCGCCCUGUCUGCCGGCCCUGCUCCAGAGGGCCUUCAGCUCGCCCUGUCUGCUGGCCCUGCUCCAGAGGGUCAGCUCGCCCGGGAGACCAGCCCUGCUCCAGAGGGCCUUCAGCUCGCCCCGUCUGCCAGCCCUGCUCCAGAGGGCCUUCAGCUCGCCCCGUCUGCCAGCCCUGCUCCAGAGUGCCUUCAGCUUGCCUGGGAGGCCCGGGGGGUUUCUGUUUCUUUUGCUGCAACAUCACUGGUACAACCCACUGUUCCCCGAGGAGGUGGAAUACCUUUGCUCAU